rnacentral:ncRNA from 1 species
CUAAAAGUAAGCAAGGGCGCAUGGCGGAUGCCUUGGCUCUCGGAGGCGAUGAAGGACGUGAUAAGCUGCGAUAAGCUGCGGGUAGGUGCAAAUGACCUUUGAUCCGCGGAUUUCCGAAUGGGACAACCCGGUAUGUUGAAGACGUAUCAUCCAUCUUAGAUGGAGGCUAACACAGGGAACUGAAACAUCUUAGUACCUGUAGGAAAAGAAAAUAAAUAAUGAUUCCCCUAGUAGUGGCGAGCGAACGGGGAAUAGCCCAAACCAUUUAUGUUACGGCAUAAAUGGGGUUGUAGGACCACGUUGUGGGAAGACAGUUAGUGAGUAGAAUGAUCUGGAAAGUUCAGUCAUAGACGGUGAUAACCCAGUAUACUAAGCUAAUUUAACCCUAGUGGUAUCCUGAGUAGCGCGGGACACGAGGAAUCUUGCGUGAAUCUGCCGGGACCAUCCGGUAAGGCUAAAUACUCCCGAGAGACCGAUAGCGAACCAGUACUGUGAAGGAAAGGUGAAAAGUACUUCGAAUAGAAGAGUGAAAUAGUCCCUGAAACCAUGCGCCUACAAGCGGUCGGAGCAGUUUAAACUGUGACGGCGUGCCUUUUGCAUAAUGAACCUACGAGUUACUUUUUCCGGCAAGGUUAAGGGUCUUGAGACCUGCAGCCGAAGCGAAAGCGAGUCUGAACAGGGCGGAUAGUCGGAAGGAGUAGACGCGAAACCAAGUGAUCUACCCUUGGCCAGGUUGAAGGACAGGUAACACUGUCUGGAGGACCGAACCGAUAAGCGUUGAAAAGCUUCCGGAUGAGCUGAGGGUGGGGGUGAAAGGCUAAUCAAACUUGGAGAUAGCUCGUACUCCCCGAAAUGCAUUUAGGUGCAGCCUUGAUUUAUACUAAUAUGAGGUAGAGCGACUGAUAAGAUGCGAGGGCUUCGCCGCCUAUCAAGUCUUGACAAACUCCGAAUGCGUAUUAGUUCUAUAUCAGGAGUGAGGGCAUGGGUGCUAAGGUCCAUGUCCUAAAGGAGAACAAUCCGGACCAUCAGCUAAGGUCCCCAAAUAAUUGCUAAGUUGAUCUAACGAAGUCAGAUUGCUAAGACAGCUAGGAUGUUGGCUUGGAAGCAGCCAUUCAUUUAAAGAGUGCGUAACAGCUCACUAGUCGAGGAGUUUGGCGUGGAUAAUAAUCGGGCAUAAGCAAUUUACCGAAGCUAUGGGAUGUGUAAACAUCGGUAGGGGAGCAUUCCACUCUGCGUUGAAGGUAAAGCGUGAGCUUUGCUGGAGCGUGUGGAAAAGCAAAUGUAGGUAUAAGUAACGAUAAAGGGGGUGAGAAACCCCCUCGCCGAAAGACUAAGGUUUCCUGAUCAACGCUAAUCGGAUCAGGGUUAGUCGGGUCCUAAGGCUCAGCCGAACGGUGAGGCCGAUGGCAGAACAGGUUAAUAUUCCUGUACUACCUUAAAGAGUGACGUGGAGACGGAGGCGUGAUAGUGCCGCGGACUGACGGAAUAGUCCGUUGAAGGGUGUAGAU